GUGCUCCCUUCAGCAGCACAUAUACUAAAAUUGGAACGAUACAGAGAAGAUUAGCAUGGCUCCUGCACAAGGAUGACAUGCAAUUUCGUGAAGCAUUCCAUAUUUUU
rnacentral:snRNA from 1 species